rnacentral:rRNA from 1 species
GAUGAACGCUGGCGGCGUGCCUAAUACAUGCAAGUCGAGCGAACGGACGAGAAGCUUGCUUCUCUGAUGUUAGCGGCGGACGGGUGAGUAACACGUGGAUAACCUACCUAUAAGACUGGGAUAACUUCGGGAAACCGUAGCUAAUACCGGAUAAUAUUUUGAACUGCAUGGUUCAAAAGUGAAAGACGGUCUUGCUGUCACUUAUAGAUGGAUCCGCGCUGCAUUAGCUAGUUGGUAAGGUAACGGCUUACCAAGGAAACGAUGCAUAGCCGACCUGAGAGGGUGAUCGGCCACACUGGAACUGAGACACGGUCCAGACUCCUACGGGAGGCAGCAGUAGGGAAUCUUCCGCAAUGGGCGAAAGCCUGACGGAGCAACGCCGCGUGAGUGAUGAAGGUCUUCGGAUCGUAAAACUCUGUUAUUAGGGAAGAACAUAUGUGUAAGUAACUGUGCACAUCUUGACGGUACCUAAUCAGAAAGCCACGGCUAACUACGUG